rnacentral:misc_RNA from 1 species
CGGGCGAGCUGAAGAUGGCUGACACGCGCUAUCAGGACCUCCGGUCGGAGAAACGCCCGCUGAUCAAACGGGACGGCGUCCGCCUUGAUCUGAUCUCUGGCGAGAUCGAAGGCACCGCCGGGCCGGCGCUGAACACGUGGCCCAUCACCGGGAUGCUGAUCACGCUGGAGCCCAACCGCAGAUUGGAGCACGUGCUGCCCAGCCGCCAUCGGGCCUUCUUCUACGUCCUUUCGGGAGAAGUGGCCGUUGGCGGCCGACCGGUCCGAGCCGGCCAGGUCGCCUGGUCCGACCCCGUGCCUCAAAGCACUUCGUCAGCGAUCAAACUGGCGACUGGCGAUGGGGACAGGCCGAGCGUAGUCAUGAUUUACAGCGGCCAGCCAAUCGGCGAACCGGUAGUGAUGGGCGGGCCGUUCGUGAUGAAUACGAAUGCCGAGAUCCAGCAGGCGUUCAGAGACUUUCGUUCGGGCCAGUUCGGCGACAUCCCUCGCCAGGCUCGCCUCGACGAUCGCUGAAGGCGAAUCUCAACAAGGG